rfam:Modoc virus, complete genome
UCCCGUUACCGGGGGUGGGGUGAUUAGCCAUGGUCGCACAGAUCAAGCUCAGAUUGCUUACAUGUAAUCUGUGUGGUCAUGAAUAUGACCUCCGCU